rnacentral:rRNA from 1 species
UACGAAGGGGGGCUAGCGUUGCUCGGAAUUACUGGGCGUAAAGCGCGUGUAGGCGGCUAAGUAAGUCGGGCGUGAAAUCCCACGGCUCAACCGUGGAAGUGCACUCGAAACUGCAUAGCUAGAGUCCUGGAGAGGAAGGUGGAAUGCUUGGUGUAGAGGUGAAAUUCGUAGAUAUCAAGCGGAACACCGGUGGCGAAGGCGGCCUUCUGGACAGUGACUGACGCUGAGACGCGAAAGCGUGGGGAGCAAACAGG